ACCUGCUGGGAGGGGACUGGGGGCAGAGCAUGUGCAUGCACAUAUGCACACAUGCUCAGCCCCUCCAAAUAAUUUUUUCUCCCUCUGCCUAUGGAUACGGGGGACUGAGACUGAGAUGGACUGUCAGAGGCUCCACGAUUGACCAGUCGAUCGCGAUCCACUGAUUGGUGACUACUGCUCUAGGAGAUAGUUCGAGGAUUAAAGCCAUGCAGAGAGCUGAGGUUGGUAACAGUGGAAAGUCCCCAGAAGCAGGACAACAUUGUCAGAGACUUAAGAGGGUGAAACUCAGAAGAAGGACCCCUGGAGACAGAGGAGCCUUGGCAGGAGAGAGGGGUGAGAAACCUGGAGAAGACACAGGAAAUCGUGAAUGAUUGCUUAUGUCGUAAUAUGGAAUAGUGGAGAACUGCAACAAUCAUGGAGUGAAUAAAGAACGUGCUGAUUGGAACAGGAUGAAAAUUCUCCGCUGGAUUCAAGAGACAGCUAAAACUAAAUCAAAGGUUCUGGUGACGUUUGAAGACAUCUCCAACAUGUUCAACAAAGAAAUUGAUCUCCAGGAAGGAGAUCUGGAAUAGAAAUAGCCAUUUUUUCUUAUUUGAAAACUGGUUUUCGGACCUCCUUGCUCCUGAAGGGUGCAUAGCUCCAGACUCUGCCAGUGCCUCUUCCACGCGGACCAUGGGACUGCGAUUUUUGCUGAAAUGUGAUCAUCACCACCAGACUUGGGAAUGUUUUUUCUUCUGUUUCCCUAUGUUGUCAAAGCAUUUUAAUGCUGAUUGAAUCAAUCAUCCUCAAGGGUACUGGAGUUGUCCUUCUCACUAAUAGGGUAACUAGGGCAGGACAACUGGAGCAGCAGCCCUGGGUGAAUAUUGGGGGGAGACGGUGGAAAAACGACAGCCACCCAGAAGGCACUUCUGCCCCAGUGUAUUGCCACUGCUCCAAAUGCCCAGCUGCCCUAUUAUGCUCUGCCACCCAGUCUUUGGCCCCUUUGCUGAGAUGGUGAGGAUGGCAUGAACACAUUACUGAUUGUGAGGGUGUCUCUUUGUGAAACAGAUGUCUGUUCCAGGGGAAAGGGACUGAAAUUCAUUCAGCAAACCACCAUUACCAGUUGGUUCAUGGCCAGGUUUAUUAAGUACACUGGGGGUUAUAACUGUAAUAGGUUAUCUUACACCCAAAUCCCAGGGAAAUCAGUGAAAAUCCCUGUUUUUAUCAGUGUGUGGAACCCAAGUCUGAAAUGGACAGUUGGAACAGGCCCAUCUCUUCUUUUCCUUUUAUUAAUAAGUUUGUGGCCAGUAAGAUAAUUGCCUGUUAAUCCCCAAGCAGUGGCGGACCACGUUAAUCAGAGUUAGCGAAGGGAGAGGAAAGCGUUUCUUGCAUGGUAGAUAGAACGUUAUCUCCUUGCUAACCUGCUUCAUGAUUUUAAUGACUUUUUUUCUUCCCAUCAGCAGAUUGCCAUCUGCUGUUGAGCACGAGAUCACAGCUCUGUUUGUCUAAAUCACCUGGGUGCUGCAGUUGAUAAAAUGUCAGUGGGAAAAGAAAUGCAAUAAGGUUUUUAAGCAUGAGCAUCCCUUGUGAGUCACGGGAAUCAUAAAGCCCCAAACCUUGCAGUUUUCCAGCUGUGGCAUAUUGGCAGCUCCUCGGUUUGUAAACUGAACGGCAUUGCAAAUAGAGAUAAGGGCAGAGGAAUUGCCACAGGGAGACAAAUCUCUGGUCCAUUCAGUCAGAUGAUCAGUCUCUGGAUGUAGUGGGUUUGCAACUAUUUUGACUUGCAAAUAGAGCAUUUUGGUCAAGUGUACCUUUGAAAUUCAAGGUGAGCUUGAAAUCUGCUUCCCCAGGAAAGCAAAACUUGCCAGCUGGAGUUGAUGUGGCCUGACCAUACACCUAGGGGGCUGGGAUUCCCUGGCUUCUAAAUUUGGAUUCAGUGUCGUUCUUGUAGAGAAUUAGCCCCAGUUCAGUCUUGGGUAGCUGGUACACUGCAUUCAAACCAGCUUAGAUAGGCCUAUUUGUUACACGGGGGUAACUGUGGGGCUGGGCCCACAAAGAAACUGUUAGACUCCUCUGUUAUUAGAAGGGGCUAUUAAGUGUUAACUACUUGGGGCAAUUAGGGUGAAAACAGGGACAGGAGUACAGGUCAAAGAUCAAUAAUGAGUCGGGGGGG